UACGAAGGGGGGCUAGCGUUGCUCGGAAUCACUGGGCGUAAAGCGCACGUAGGCGGCUUACUAAGUCAGGGGUGAAAUCCUGGAGCUCAACUCCAGAACUGCCUUUGAUACUGGUGAGCUUGAGUCCGGAAGAGGUGAGUGGAACUGCGAGUGUAGAGGUGAAAUUCGUAGAUAUUCGCAAGAACACCAGUGGCGAAGGCGGCUCACUGGUCCGGUACUGACGCUGAGGUGCGAAAGCGUGGGGGAGCAAACAGG
rnacentral:rRNA from 1 species